rnacentral:rRNA from 1 species
GACGAACGCUGGCGGCGUGCCUAAUACAUGCAAGUUGAGCGCUGAAGGUUGGUACUUGUACCAACUGGAUGAGCAGCGAACGGGUGAGUAACGCGUGGGGAAUCUGCCUUUGAGCGGGGGACAACAUUUGGAAACGAAUGCUAAUACCGCAUAAAAACUUUAAACACAAGUUUUAAGUUUGAAAGAUGCAAUUGCAUCACUCAAAGAUGAUCCCGCGUUGUAUUAGCUAGUUGGUGAGGUAAAGGCGCACCAAGGCGAUGAUACAUAGCCGACCUGAGAGGAUGGUCGGCCGCCUUGGGACUGAGACACGGCCCAAACUCCUACGGGAGGCAGCCGUAGGGCAUCUUCGGCCAUGGAUGAAAGUCUGACCGAGAUGCGCCGAGUGAGUGUAGAGGGUUGCCGGAUCGUAAAACUCUGUUGGUAGAGAAGAACGUUGGUGAGAGUGGAACGAUCAUCAAGUGACGGUAACUACUCAGAAAGGGACGGCUAACUACGUG